UGCGGCUGGAUCACCUCCUUUUCUAGGAAGAUGUUGAGUAUCAUUGAAUUUAUUGAGUGAUCUGAACGUUUUUUGAAGAUUAAAGCUUU
rnacentral:misc_RNA from 1 species